rnacentral:lncRNA from 1 species
CUCCUCGUGUGCGCGAAACUCAUGGCACUGGCUUGACGGCUUUCUCUGAAACCCUCUGAUUCCGCCUGGCCCAUCCACACUGUCCCUUCCCGGCCAGGGCUCAUCUCCUAUGCCUGGACCAAACAGCGUAGUCUCCAGUCUCCCUGAUCUCCCCACACGUGGCCCCACCCAUCCUCUGAAGCAGCCCCAGGAGGCAGCAGUGACUUCACACUUCUAGUGCCCGGCCCUCCCGGCCCUCCUCUCUGGGCUUGCUUGCCAGGGUCCUCCCAACCUGACUGCUGCCUCCCACCUCCUCUCCGCCCCUGGAGCUCUCCAGCCGCAGCCGCGGGGCCUGCUUGGGAUUCUCCUCUGCUGGCAUCAUCCCUGCCUGCCUCAGCCUUCCCAGGCCCAAUCCUGCCCGAUCUCACCUCUUCCCGCCCAGCCACCUGGUCGGGUCCCGACCAGCAUCUGCCUUCAAACCUGGAGUCCUUCCCUGAGUGCUUGCGGUGCACUGUGAGGAAGGAAAUCAAUGUAAAGGAUUAUGACCCACAUUUUUUAAAAAUAAAAAGAUUAAGGAGAACA